AGAAGAAGAAAACCGUAGCUGGCUGUAGCACGUUGUGCGAAUUACUGCAUGCUAUAAGAUAAAUUCUUGAUUAAUUCCGGUAACGGUUAAGAGAAAAGAAGAUCCGUGACCUGAUCCCUGGCAGUAAAACACAUUUUUACUGUGAUUUUCUCUGGUUGGUUUUUUUAGAACCCCAUGCAACUUUGAAGACUGUCCAGCUGCAUAGCAUCGCAGGCCUGGAUUGGAUUGCUGAGCUCCAGGGUUCAACCCAAGACCUGGGACUGCUGGAUCCGCUGCCUACUUUGCACUGGAUAAGAUAAGAUUUUGGAUCCAAAGAAACACAUGGCCAUUUAACAAAGACUUGACUGACUGACUUAAAUUACUGAACUAAGAAAACAAAACUUCCAAAGGACGAACUGAACUAUAAGGAAUCCGAACCAAAAGAAAAUACACUGCCUGAUAAAAAAGGUGGACACUUUAUGUUGGAACAAAAAAACUGUACCGUAAUAUUCUGUUUCAAGUUGUAUUAAAUAAUCUGUUCAUUCUUGAUAA